CUAAAGGGGGCCAAGCGCCUGAUGACGUUAGUGCUCACGCGACCAUCCGUCUCGCAUAUUUGCCUCGCGCUGAUUACAGCCAUAUAUUAUAAUAUAUUAUCUAUAACAUAUAGUAUAGGUGCUCCCACACCCGUAGUGUAGGUGUCUGUUGGACCAGACCGUAAACGUAACUUAUUAAGUUGUCCGGGUCCCGGGUCCCUGUGGUUUCUCUCUGGUGGGUCUCUGGCUCGUCGGUCCCGGACCCACCAGUGAGUGUAUGGAUGACGUCACCAGGCGUGGUCAAAACAUGAGACCUUCAUCACUUCCAGACUGCAGCUCGUGCAGCUCUAGAAGAGCGUAGCCGCGAGACCCCGGGGCGGAGUGGGCUCUUAAAGAAAAUAAAACAAUAUAAAUGUCUGAAAUGAUGAACCACCACAGACUUUCUGGUUCUAAAACGGAACUUUAAGUUAAGUACCAUAACUGGUUAAACUAGCGCGAACACGGCAGCGUUCAGCCCGCGAGCCUCCCGGAGACCCGCGGAGACUUCAUAGGAAAUGAGUCAUUGGCGGGGGCGCGUGGGUGUGUCUAUUAAAGCGAGGCGCAGAGCGCGUGACUCACUCUCAUGUUCUCCUCCAUGGUGGAACCAGAGGAACCUAGAGGAACCUGAACAUCAUGGCUCCCAGCGCCGUCUGCGCCCUGCUCGGACUUAUCAUGGCGGCGGCGGCCAACUUCUCUGGAGUCCACGCGCAGAAGAGCCAGUGCAGCAGUUCCCAGUUCUGGAAUUCGGAUUUGGAAAUGUGUGUGCCAUGUGCGUCAUGCAAGCAAUACCCCAAGACCCCAUCAUGCAACACAUGCCGGGUGUACAUGGAGGAGACGUCUGAUGUGUGGCGUCUCGCCGCCAUCAGCAGCUUCUCGGUGCUGGCCGUGGUGCUCCUGGGCGCCGCCCUGCUGGUCGGGCUGACGCUGCAUCGCCGCAGGGCGCAGAAACGCCCGCUACGGGAGCCCAUUGAGGAGACGGCCGGCCCCCUGUACCAGGCCUGACCCCAGAGGGUCUCAUGGAGCGUCCUGAUGAACAUAUGGAACAUGGACUGUAAUCAUGUGAUCUGAAGGAGAAACCUCUCACCCACAGCCUCAUCAUCAUCAUCCUCAUCAAGUUCAGAAAUCUAAACCAUUCAGAGGAAGUGAAGGGACGUCUCUUCAGGGGCCCCCGACUCGCCCUCCUCACCACCACCACCAGCAGCAGGGCCCCGGGAGGCCGCUGAGGACCCAGGGGGCCCCUGGGACCUCACCGGCAGCAUGGGGCCCCCCAGAGCCAGGGGCCCCCCAGCUCUGUGGCGGGGGACGCUGGCCGGGACCAACAGACAUCAGCGGGAACAUCACAGCCUUUUGAAUGUAGCGUCUGAACAAUGGCUCCUCGUAGAAACAGGCCCCUGCAGACUGAACAUCAGGAGUUCAUGUUGCUCAAGGGAACAGGGGUGAGCCCGUUCAGCACACUGGGAAUCCUAGGAAACCAAACACAUCACGGCGGGCCUUCUCCUGUUUUUAAUGUGACGUAGUUCUAUUUUUGUAAGAAUCCUGCAGCAUUCAGCCUGAAUGUCUCCCUGUUCCAGUACCUUCCUAACCCUGCCGAGCUGACCCCACUAACUGUUGUUGAAGGCCCAGAUGAAGUGAGAGCCUGACUCGAGCACAUCGUCCUGCAGCACCGAGACGCCAGCACAACACCGUCAGCUCUACCAGUUAUUGUUUAUAUAUCAUGACCGUCGUGGGUGGUCCCGUGUAUUCUAGUUGUUUUUAUAUCUUAGUGAUACAAGGAGUGCCUUCUCCGGCCACAAAACUGGUUCAAAGUACAGACACAUCUUUAUAGUAUUUAUUUUUUUAACUCUUUUGUAAGGUGCAGCUCCUGACGUCGACAGGUUGUCACGGUGACAAGAGCUCCUGUGAACAUUCUUUAAAUUCCGUUUAUCGUUUUAACGACCAAUAACAUUUUUUUUAACCUUCUUGCUUGUAGUUGUGUUUUAUAUUGUAUAUAUAUAUAAAUAUGCACUGGCUUCCUGUAGUUAAUGCAAAUGCUCUGUGUACCAACUGUAUUUUCUCAUUAAAAUAGAGAUUUUUAAAAUUAAA